GACGAACCGUCCAAACGUUAUUCGGAAUCACUGGGCUUAAAGGGUGCGUAGGCGGCACAGAAAGUUAGAUGUGAAAUCCCCCAGCUUAACUGAGGAAUUGCGUUUAAAACUACUGUGCUUGAGGAAGAUAGAGGUGAGCGGAACUUCGGGUGGAGCGGUGAAAUGUGUAGAUAUCCGAAGGAACACCGGUGGCGAAAGCGGCUCACUGGGUCUUCUCUGACGCUGAGGAACGAAAGCUAGGGGAGCGAACGGG
rnacentral:rRNA from 1 species